AUGGCGGGUGCGGGGCUACUAGCGGCCGCUCGAAAAAAAACAACGCUGGUUACUGUGCGGAGGCCACAGUGGGCCGCGAGCCACCUCGUCCUCGCCCUCCUGCCCUGGCUGCGGCCCCCCAGGUCCCAGCGCCCCCUGCCCGAGUGCCCCGGCACCCGCUGGCAGCGCCGACCUCACCGCGCACCUAUGGGCUCAUUACCAGGACAUGUGGAGACUGGUGUACGACCUCCUGCCCCGUGAGGUCUGCAGUCUCCUGAACCUAGCAGCCAUCUAUGCCAACAACGAGAUCAGCCUACGUGACGUUGAGGUCUAUGGCUUUGACUAUGACUACACCCUGGCCCAGUAUGCAGACGCAUUGCACCCCGAGAUCUUCAGCACCGCCCGCCACAUCCUGAUUGAGCACUACAAGUACCCAGAGGGGAUUCGGAAAUAUGACUACAACCCCAGCUUUGCCAUCCGUGGCCUCCACUAUGACAUUCCAAAUAGCCUCCUGAUGAAGAGUGACGCCUACCACUACGUGCAGCUGGGGACAGCCUACAGGGGCCUCCAGCCUGUGCCAGAUGAAGAGGUGAUCGAGCUAUAUGUGGUCACCCAGCACAUCCCAUUGUACCAGAGGAACGGCUUCUACGGCAAGGGUCCCUCCAUUAAGCAGUUCAUGGACAUCUUCUCGCUGCCAGAGAUGGCUCUGCUGUCCUGUGUGGUGGACUACUUCUUGGGCCAUGGCCUGGAGUUUGACCAAGCGCACCUCUACAAGGAUGUGACGGACACCAUCCGAGACGUGCAUGUGAAGGGCCUCAUGUGCCAGUGGAUCGAGCAGGACAUGGAAAAGUACAUCCUGAGAGGGGACGAGAGGUUUGCCGUCCUGAGCCGCCUGGUGAACCACGGGAAACAGCUGUUCCUCAUCACCAACAGUCCUUUCAGCUUCGUAGACAAGGGGAUGCGGCACAUGGUGGGUCCCGAUUGGCACUGGCUCUUCGAUGUGGUCAUCGUCCAGGCGGACAAGCCCAGCUUCUUCACUGACCGGCGCAAGCCUUUCAGAAAAUUCGACGAGAGGGGCUCGCUUCAGUGGGACCGGAUCACCCGCCUGGAAAAGGGCAAGAUCUAUCGGCAGGGAAACCUGUUUGACUUCCUACGCCUGACGGAAUGGCGCGGCCCCCACGUGCUCUACUUCAGGGACCACCUCUAUAGUGACCUGGCGGAUCUCAUGCUGUGGCAUGGCUGGCGCACGGGCGCCAUCAUCCCCUAGCUGGAGCGUGAGAUCAGCAUCAUCAACACGGAGCAGUACAUGCACUCGCUGACGUGGCAGCAGGCGCUCACAGGGCUGCUGGAG